GUAUGGAAAGCAAACAUUCCUCAUACUCACCUUGCACAUGAGAAAUCUGAUCAGAACUGGAUGGUUGUGAAAGGUGAGAAGAUAGUAUUUCCUGGGGGAGGCACGCAUUUUCACUAUGGAGCUGAUAAAUAUAUUGCUUCGAUUGCAAAUAUGCUGAACUUUUCAAAAAAUAAUUUAAACAAUGAAGGAAGGCUAAGAACAGUUCUGGAUGUUGGCUGUGGUGUUGCUAGCUUUGGUGCUUAUCUUUUGUCAUCCAAUAUCAUUGCAAUGUCCUUGGCACCUAAUGAUGUGCAUCAAAACCAAAUCCAGUUUGCCCUAGAAAGAGGAAUUCCUGCAUAUCUUGGUGUUCUAGGGACCAAGAGACUCCCUUACCCAAGCA
rnacentral:misc_RNA from 1 species